rnacentral:rRNA from 1 species
UACGUAGGGCGCGAGCGUUGUCCGGAAUUAUUGGGCGUAAAGAGCUUGUAGGCGGUUUGUCGCGUCUGCUGUGAAAAUCCGGGGCUCAACCCCGGACUUGCAGUGGGUACGGGCAGACUAGAGUGUGGUAGGGGAGACUGGAAUUCCUGGUGUAGCGGUGAAAUGCGUAGAUAUCAGAAGGAACAUCAGUGGCGAAAGCGGCUUCCUGGUCCAGCGCCGACGUCAGGCACGAAAGCGUGGGGAGCAAACAGG